CGCCGUAUUGCUGCCUCUUAAUCACGGCCAUACUUAAUUCCUAACCGCAGGGACCCCCCAAUUUUUCCCUACUAUAAUAAAUGUCACUAACCUUGCAGCAGCUUCUUUCUUUAAUAACGUACGUAACUGAUGAAGUAAUCAUACCAGUACUUUAAUCCAACAGUAUAUAGCACAUUUGCCCAAGAUAUCUAUCGUGGUAUUGCACAUUUGCCCAAGAUAUCCACCGAGGUAUUGCACAUUUGCCCAAGAUAUCCACCCAAGGUGUAUUGCACGUUUGCCCAAGAUAUCCACCAUUCUUCAACGAUGUGGUAAGGUGGGGGUAAUUUCAUAUUUAGUGUCGAAAAAAGGUUUGGGGUCCGAUGCUGAGGGGCCUGGUGCGUGGAUUUCACGCUUGAUGCCUUACCUAAGCUAGUCGAGUUUAUCUCACUCGCUCAUGCUGGUCUUAAACGAAAACCUAUAAAGAGACCUAAUGCACUUGCACAUACUGAAAAUGUGCAAUCCUAGCCUAGUGAGAUACCCCUUUAUACAAGCCACCAUUCUGCCACAACAGCAACUUUUAUCAGUAGGUUGC